rnacentral:rRNA from 1 species
CCUGGUGCUUUUGGCGUCAUGGUCCCACUCCGAUCCCAUCCCGAACUCGGCUGUGAAACGUUUCUGCGGCGACGAUACUUUGGGGGUUGCCCCACGGCAAAAUAGCUCGGUGCCAGGU